ACCCGUGAUCUGCUUUUAAUACUGUCGGUCUUGAGUAUGGGAGAGGGAGAUGGACUUCCAGGUGUAGCGGUGGAAUGCGUAAAUAUCUGGAAGAACACCAGUUGCGAAGGCGGUCUCCUGGACCAAUACUGACGCUGAUGCUCGAAAGCUGGGGUAGCGAACAGGAUUAGAUACCCUGGUAGUCCCAGCCGUAAACGAUGGACACUAGUUGCCGGAGGAGUCAAUCCCUUCGGUGACGAAGCUAACGCAUUAAGUGUCCCGCCUGGGGAGUACGCUCGCAAGGUUGAAACUCAAAGGAAUUGACGGGGGCCCGCACAAGCGGUGGAGCAUGUGCUUUAAUUCGAUGCAACGCGAAGAACAUUACCUGGGUUUGACAUGGGGGUGAAAGUUUCCAGAGAUGGAAGCCUUUCAUUCGGGAACACCCCACACAGGUGCUGCAUGGUUGUCGUCAGCUCGUGUCGUGAGAUGUUGGGUUAAGUCCCGCAACGAGCGCAACCCCUGCCCUUAGUUGCCAUCAGGUAAAGCUGGGAACUCUAAGGGGACAGCUUGGUAUAACCAGGAGGAAGGUGGGGAUGACGUCAAAUCAUCAUGGCUCU
rnacentral:rRNA from 1 species